AGCUCCACGAGCAUGUACGUAAGUUGUUGCAGUUAAAAAGCUCGUAGUUGGAUCUCGGACCUGUGACCGGUGGUCCGCCCGAUACGGGUGUGCACUGCCGUGUCCGGUCUUCGUCUGGUCUAUAUUGCAUAGUGCCCUUAACCGGGUGCUAUGUAAUGCCAGAAAGUUUACUCUGAAAAAAUUAGAGUGCUUAAAGCAGGCCGUUGUGCUUGAAUACUGUUGCAUGGAAUAAUGGAAUAGGACCUCGGAUCUAUUUUGUUGGUUUUCGGAGUCGAGGUAAUGAUUAAGAGGGACAGACGGGGGCAUUCGUAUUGCGCCGUUAGAGGUGAAAUUCUUGGAUCGGCGCAAGACGAACAACUGCGAAAGCAUUUGCCAAGGAUGUUUUCA
rnacentral:rRNA from 1 species